GUGCAUCAGAAAGCAUCAUCAAGACGUGAGACAAUCAUGGGAACGGUUCUUGCUUUAUGUUUUCUCCUCAUUUUGGCACCAGAAUGGACCAACGCUUGGACGGCAGAUUUAAAGACUUCUCACAGUCCAUUGUUUGUCAAUCAAGUCAAUGGGACUUCAGCUGAAAUCCGCUGUGGAAUUUCAAUGGAGAAGAUCGAUGGAUUAUACCUAUACAAGAAAUUCACAGGUUCACUUAGGGUGAUGUUCCUGUAUAUUAGAAACAUGGAAGCAGACGUUCAUGAGGACUACAACAGCCGUCUAAAUUACACAAAAACGUGCUGUGAUUUUUUAAUUACAAUCUCAAAACUGAGGCCUAACGACAGUGAUGUCUACUACUGCCAUUUUAAAUACUUAAACAUGUCAACUCACAAUGAAGAAGAAUACACAAGUACAGGAACACUGGUAAUGGUCAAAGAGCAAACUUCCCCGGACUGUCCUCCAGACAAGCAGACGUGGAAAAUCGUUCUGAUUUUGAUUCUAACUGUAGUGGUCAUUGUGAUUUGCAUGGCUGCCUGCUUUUGUGUGUGGAACAUAACUGGGAAACAGAAAGUAUUUGAGCCAAAUGAGAUAAAACAACACACACCAAGGAAAGGCCAAAAGCCUCAACAACAACAAAGAAGAAAUUUCAAUUUAUAAUAUGUAACAGCCAGUGAUGUUUAUUUAGGUACUCAUCUCCCAUAUUACUUUUGUGCUUGCCAAUGCUGCCUGUGUGAGAGCUGUCCCCGUGUCCACACACAUGUGUGCGCUGAUGUAAGAACAUACCACACACCACUUCAGACAACUUGGAAUUACUGUCAUGUAAUCAAUGAAAAAAGAGAAGGAUCAAGAAAGGAAGCUGAGGCUCGGAACAUACAAGACACUGAAAUAUUCUCUACUCAAGUAUAUGUUUGUAUUUUUACUUGAACAACUGCUUGCAGUCCUUACUUUACAUUAUAAAGCACAAUUUGAGUUGAUAUUGAGCAUCUAGAAGAGUUCAGAUGGGGAAAGAUGACAAAGAAGAGAACUGAUUCAACUCUGACCGUGAAUGACGAGCUAUGAGCAACAAAUGAAAAUAUGCUAGGCUAUUAAAUAUGCUCUACAGUAUAUGUUAGAUGGAUAUAUAAUUAGGCAGCUGUCAAUAGGCCUUAAGAUACUGAAUCUCUGUGAGAUAGAUAGAUAGAUAGAUAGAUAGAUAGAUAGAUAGAUAGAUAGAUAGAUAGAUAGAUAGAUAGAUAGAUAGAUAGAUAGAUAGAUUUAAACAAGCUUAUAAUGUAGGUAGAAAAGCUUAAAAAACCUAGACAUCUCUAAAUUAAGUGUGCAGGUAUAUUCAAAACAUGUUCUCGCGUAACUGUCUCUUACGUGUUAAAUGUAGAUUAAUCGGUGUUUUACAGUAUAACUGCUACCAGGAAGACAAAGGACAAAUUAAAGUCCUAAAAGAAUGAGUGACCCAUUCUGGCACCGCUGCAUGGCUGUCUGGGAAGCCAAGGACUGUUAAGAAGGUACUGUAGUAGAUUUCCAUGGAUACCAGAAAGAGAAAGAAACGCUAAAAGGACAGGAUAGUAAGUUAGGGGUGUUUCUAACCUUUCUCCUGAACGAUGACGAGAGAUCAUGGAAGUCAGGCAAGAGAGCACAUGAGCUCUUGAUUGAGAAGAGGCGGCACAGGAUCUCUAGGUGGGGAUGCAGCACACAGCCUGCUGAUUUCAUGGUUAAGGUCAUGGAUUACCAACAGAAGGCUUUUAUCUCCUGCCUGUCUACUAAAGGAACAGCACAUGGUCCAUGACUUAGCGGAGUAGCACCACGUCGCCCUAUCAGGGAUGACCCUUAGAGGUACAGGAAAUAAUGCGGGAGCCUAACCCUCCAGUUCCUGCAGCCAAAAAAAUGCUAUCUAAGGCUUGGUUGGAAAUGUGGCAAUACUGAGUAUUUUUACGUACAUUGUAUUACUCUGAGUUUUGUUUGAUACAAUAAACAUCAAUUUCUAAAUUCUGGUCUUGUUUGGCAUUUACUUUCAAGUAUGAAGUGAUGCAACAUAAGUAAACAUCUGUAUACUGAUAGUGUGCAUAAGCUAAGCAAGAUAUUUUUGAAAUGCUAUUUCAGGCUGCCAUUUAGGCUUUUCAGUGCUCCUGUGUCAAACAUUCUCAAGUCUUGGGUUCAAAUGUCAGCGCUUGUUGUAGUCGCAUUACUAUUGUUGUGUAUAAAGACUACAGUGAUAUUCUUACUUGUAUGUCCAAAUAAAAUGCAACACCUCCAUUCUCUGGUGCAAUGACAGACAGGGAAAGUCACAGUCUGUAUGGAAUCUGCAAUCUCCUGGUGUCUACCUGGAAAAACAAAAAAUAUCCAUCGGUUUUAAACUUGUUUAGUCCAGUUUGGAGUCGCAGGGGUCAGCUCCAAUCCUGGCAGCUCUGGGUGAAAAGCAGGAAUUAAAUCUUGACAGGGCAGCAGUCUAUUUCUGGGCUGUUGUGGUUCAGUCAGAGUGGUCUUGUUUAUUUAAGAAUUUUUGCUGUUUUAAUAAAUUUCCAUCUGUUUUUGGAUGUGUUUUUUCUUUGUAUUUAUGUACUAUUAUGGUUUUUACUGUCAUGGCACUCAUUAAUUUUGUUAUUUUUAUACUUAGUGUUUUUUUUUUUUUGUUAUGUGCCC